UUCCCGUUCCCGUUACCUCACCGUGUCGGAGCACCGGGAGAAGCUCCAGGGAAACUCCAUGGGGCUUCUUUUCGCGGUAAUAUCCACAGAAACAAGGAGGUCAGAGCUGCUGCUGCUGUACAGCUGCAGAACUGCUGAGUUCAGCAGGAUUGCGGGUCAGCGGGGCCGAGGACGGGUCCGGGGGCCCCGGUGGAGCGAUGACAUCACCCAGAGGAGCGCUGACGUAAACUGAUCCAGCAUCAGUUUGUUGUGCUUCGGCAGCUGUUUGUGGAUCAGAUUAAAGUGUGAAUGAAGCACAGUUUAAUCUGCACGUGAGGACCAGCGGCUUACAUAACUCAUCUGUAAUAUCUGAUCAUGUGAUCACUCACACGCUGUUCUGCAUGGUGUUACUAUUGUGAAUAUUGUACCAAUAUGUACCAAGGCAAAUUCUUCGGGCUCCAUUGAAAACAAAGGGUGAAAGGUAUUUUUAUUCUUUGGCGUUCGAGUCAGUCUCGGGACCUUCAUGGUGUCCUGGUUGCUUCAUGUUUCUAUUCUUUUAUUUUUGCUGUAUGUUUCUUUUUUGUCUGAUUGGUCUGUUUUUCUUCUUGAAGUUUUAACUGCAUUACUUUGUUCAGCACAGUGUCUGGUUUAAAUGAGCUUUAUAAAUAAAUGGACUACUUCCUGCUGAUA